UCUUACUUAGUACACGCCUCUGUGGAAUACUUGAUUCUGAUUGGUCAGUCGCGACAUUCCGAGGUAUGUUAUCCCUGGAUAACCACCGGUAAAAGCUAAUAACACAGGCUCAUCCGGGUAACAGCAGUCGGCGCUGUACUCUUGCUUGAACUAUUUUUGUUCUUGGUGGAAGCUUUCCAUUUGUUUAGUUAAUAAAAUAUUAAAACUCGAUUCUAAAUAGUGUACAAUUGUUUAAUUAUGUCGUCCUGGUAUCGCGAAUUCGCUCUCGUUUCAUACAAACCUAGCUGUUGCCAAUUUGCUACGAUUGUUUUGUAAGCUGUAAUGAAUUAUGAGAGAACUAACAAACUGGUCAGUCCCUAAUGGUGCUCUUAGUUAGAGCCCUGUGGACCGCACAGAUGGAAUUCCUCCAUCCAUUGUGUUACUGUGGAACAUCAACAGCAUGGGCCUCUGGUAUAUCACAG
ensembl:lncRNA